UGCCAGCAGCCGCGGUAAUACGUAAGCCCCAAGCAUUACCCGGAAUCACUGGGUGUAAAGGGUUCGUAGGUGGAAAAAUAAGUUGGAUAUGAAAGACCGAAGCUCAACUUCGUGUUUGUAUUCAAAACUGUUUUUCUAGAAUCAGGGAGAGGUAAGCGGAAUUCUAAGUGUAGGGGUGCAAUCCGUAGAUACUUAGAAGAACACCAAAAGCGAAGGCAGCUUACUGGAACUGUAUUGACACUGAGGAACGAAAGCGUGGGUAGCGAAAAGGAUUAGAUA
rnacentral:rRNA from 1 species